UCAAAAACUAAAAAGAACAGUUACCAGAGUUAGAAAAGCUUUGUAAAAUGGAAGCAAUAACCAGAGAUUCAUCAUCAAUAUAGUUUAGUUAUGUUAUCAAGUCAUGACUUUUUUCUGGUUUUGGAGUUGCAGAGAGACAAGCAUGUGCUAAUGUGGCUGGUAUGCUCCUAACGUUUUGACCAAAAGAGUUCCCAAGCCGGGACAGAACAAAGUUACUGUAAAACCAAAGCUUGAGGAAGAGAAGUAGAAGAGAGAGAAGAAGAAAACUGGAAGAGAAAAGAAAACCUGACAAAAAAAACUAGCAAAAAGCUACUUUGCACAGAAAAAUAGAAGAAAAGUCGAAGAGAGAGAAAAAUAGUUAACUGUGUUUGUAUUAGUUUAACGGAAGGAUAUUAUUGUGACAGAUUUUAUUAAGUGAGGACGUAAUUGACGCAUUUUUUAAAGGAUGGACUAAUUUGACAUAUUCGAAUGAAAUUGGGGACAAAAUAGGAUAUUAAACCAAUUUUAAAUUUGGUGUGUAAUCUUGGCUUUAUUACUUGUUCUGAAAAUGUUUGACUAACUGGUGUACAUGAUGAAUCUAUUUGAUGAUUAUUUGAUGUGAAAGAAUAUUUAGUUGUAAUGCAUGUUGAUAUUCAGGAAAUAGAUGGGUGAUGAAUUUAUGAUUGUGGUCAUGAUGCUAGGCAUGGUGUAUGAAUGAAUUGUGUGAGGAAGCAUGUGUGUGAGAUUUUGAGCUCCAGAGUUUGUAUUGUUGCAUGUAUUGUUCGCAGGAAAACAUGGAUGAUAUUGCCUUAAUCUUGAUGAUCGAUUAAAUUGCCUGUGAAUGUCAUAUGAUCAAGGCC
rnacentral:lncRNA from 1 species